GACGAACGCUGGCGGCGUGCUUAACACAUGCAAGUCGAACGGUAAGGCUCCAGCUUGCUGGGGUACACGAGUGGCGAACGGGUGAGUAACACGUGGGUGACCUGCCCUGCACUUCGGGAUAAGCCUGGGAAACUGGGUCUAAUACCGGAUAGGACCGCACCGUGAGGGUGUGGUGGAAAGUUUUUGCGGUGUGGGAUGGGCCCGCGGCCUAUCAGCUUGUUGGUGGGGUAAUGGCCUACCAAGGCGGCGACGGGUAGCCGGCCUGAGAGGGUGGACGGCCACAAUGGGACUGAGACACGGCCCAGACUCCCACGGGGGGCAGCAGGGGGGAAUAUUGCACAAUGGGCGGAAGCCUGAUGCAGCGACGCCGCGUGGGGGAUGACGGCCUUCGGGUUGUAAACUCCUUUCACCAUCGACGAAGGGUUUCUGACGGUAGAUGGAGAAGAAGCACCGGCUAACUACGUG
rnacentral:rRNA from 1 species